UCACUUGAGCUCAGGAGUUUGAGACAAGCCUGGACAACAUAGUGAGACCUAAUCUCUACUAAAAUAGAAAAAGAAAUCAAAAUUUUCUGUACUAAGCAUAUUUUAUUUUCUUAACUGAAAAAAUUAAAAACUUAAUAGCAACAAUUUUUAAACACUCUCUUAGCAUUCCAGCAAUCAGCACUAAUAGAAUGGUGGGCAGAAAGAAGAAAAGUUUGCUGAAUAUAUAUAUAUAUAUGUUUUUGCCAUCAUCCUUCAAGAAGUAUUCAUUUGAAGGUGAUGUUGCCCUCCAUCCAACAAGCCUAAAGACCUCCAGCUUCCACAGUUUUGGACAUCGGGCAUUGAUGACUGUCUUUCAUGAAAUACUCCCUUCAGUGGUCUUUCCCCAUCUCCCUAGUUAAUUCCUCUCAUCCAGUUCCCAAGACUGUGCCCCCUUUCCAAGGACUCUUCUUUUUAUGAACUUUCUCCUCGUGAGAACCCAUGCUUGGUCCAACUUACUAUUAUCUCUUUCACACUGAUGAGUCUCAAUUCACCUUGUUCAAACCUGACUGUGCACUUCAAUCCAGUCUCUACAAAUGCUCACAUAUAUGACGCCUUCUAUUGUCAACCACUUCCAGACAAACUGGUUUGUCUUCUCAAUUUCCUUCCUACUGUCAUUCUCUCAAUCUUCAUUCUAUCAUGCUUCAAAGGCACAAACUUUGGAAUCAUCAUUUGCCUUGUCUUAUUCUUCAUAUCUAAUCCACUUUGUUAUCUCAAUAGUUUUUCUUUUUUUUAACUUCUUGCCUUUUAAUAAUAUCUUUGAAUAUAGAUGGUUUCAAUUCUCCAAUAACAAGAUGUAGAGUGGCCAAAUGGUUUUUCAUACAUGUUUUCCUAGUCCAGACACCCAAAAGUAUGUCCCUCUCUUGGGCAUAAGAAAACCUAGAGUUAUAUUUAGGGCAUCAUGUGUGGUGAAUAGUUGACCGAGCUGGCAUGCUCACAAUGACCAAAUUAUGUUUGUCAUAUUUUAAUCCAAUACAUUGAUCUACUAUGAACUUGUAAAUAAUGUAUUUGCUUUCUAGACACAUUCCAGGAAGACCAGAGAAACUGACUUUUAUCCAUAUGGAAUAAUCCACUGGCAAAUUUCUUUUAGGACAGACCAAAGCUGAUCUAGAACAUAAUCUUUACAUACUUGGAUCCUUCCCAUCAAACAAGAAAGAACAUCUGGGGUGAAAGGCUCCAUUAGAAGAGCAAUGUGGGAUGGUGCUGUGCUGACAACUGGUAGUUCCUGCCCUACAUCUUUGUAGAGGACUGGAGCCCAGAGCAUGCCAUGGUCAACUUGUAUGUUGAAGUGAAGAACUCCUUCGAGGUGUGCAUGUGCUUAUUACAGAUAUGCCAUGGUGCCAAGUACCCCAGGACUACAGGAAAAAAUAAGAAUAGAUGCUGUAUCCAUGAUCAUGAGGCACACAGGCCAGAGCGCCAGCUGUGGAAUCACACAGCCCAGGUUCAAAGCCUGGCUGGGCCAUGACCACCUGAAUGACCUGAGGAAUGGUCUCAGGCAAAUUUGCAAAAAGUGGAGACACUGCCUGCCAGGGAGGCAUGUGGUAAGAGGCACAUCCAGUCAGGUCAGGGCACCGCGUCCUCUCUUUGGAAACCUGCGGAGCGAGGCUGGUGGCCCCUGAAGCCACAGCAGCCAUGGAGAAGGCGGGCCUGGCUCCAGGCGGCACAGAGGCACUGGAGAGGACCCGGGGGAGCCUAGCGGGAUCUGGCUGGUCCUGCGCUCUGCUUCCAGGUUCUGGCCCUGUAACCCGGGAGACAGGGCUGGCCAAGACAGGGCCACUGGGUGCCAGCCAGCACCUGGGCCGGGCGCCAGGUGGAAGGGCUCUGGCGAAUCAGCCCCGCACCCCCAACAGCCCCACAGGGGGGCCCAUCCAGGGCCACACACCUGCCCCCAGGAGCAGGACGUCCCUGAGGCUAGAGCCCAGCUGGACCGGUGGAAGGGUCUCACCCUUUGCCCUUUUACUCCUCUUGUAGGCACCCUCGCUGGGCUCCUAAGCACUCCUCCACAACCCUGGCUCUGUCACCAGCCCCAUGGUGAUGUCAUAAACUCCCAGAUGCCCAGUGUGCACCCGGCCACAGAGAAGUGGGUGACUUAGGAGUAUCCUCUCUGCUUCUGACCCUUAGUUUCGUCUGUGCACAACUCGCUCAAAAUGGGCAACUCACUAAGUUUAUUUUGUUCCUGGUUCCGCCGCAGGUCCUGGCCAUGCCAUCGGCAACCUGCUUGUCUUGUCCGUGAGGCCUUCCCAGCUGGCCGGGCUCACCCAGCGGCUCCUGCACCUGUGCCUGCCCGGGGAAUCGUGGGCCGUUUCCCACUCCUCUUCAACCGUCAGCGACAUCUUGGGCCUUCUUUUCCAGUCAGGUGGGAUGGCGCCCCUAUGAGACUGUGUCUUAUCCCUCAGAACAUGGGCACCCCACAGAGGGUCCUGCCUCCUGUGGUCUGGAGCCCCCCUUCAAGGAAGAAACCCAUGCUGUCUGCUUGCAACUCCAUGAUGUUUGGACACCUCAGCCCCGUGAGGAUCCCUCAUCUCAGAGGCAAGUUUAACCUUCAACUUCCUUCAUUAGAUGAGCAGGUGAUCCCAGCCAGGCUCCCGAAGAUGGAGGUGAGGGCAGAAGAGCCCAAAGAAGCAACGGAGGUGAAAGACCAGGUAGAGACCCAGGGGCAGGAGGACAAUAAAAGGGGCCCCUGUAGCAAUGGGGAAGCAGCCUCCACCUCUAGGCCCCUGGAGACUCAGGGAAACCUCACUUCCUCCUGGUACAAUCCCAGGCCCUUGGAGGGAAAUGUCCACCUCAAGAGCUUGAUAGAAAAGAACCAGACUGACAAGGCCCAGGUGCAUGCAGUGAGUUUCUACUCCAAGGGCCAUGGAGUCGCCAGUUCACACAGCCCUGCUGGAGGCAUCCUUUCUUUUGGGAAGCCUGACCCACUUCCAACAGUGCUCCCUGCCCCAGUUCCGGGCUGCUCCCUGUGGCCAGAGAAGGCGGCCUUGAAGGUGCUGGGUAAAGACCACCUGCCCAGCUGUCCAGGCUUGCUGAUGGUGGGGGAGGACAUGCAGCCCAAGGAUCCUGCAGCUCUUGGAUCAAGUAGGUCUUCUCCAUCCAGAGCUGCCAGCCACAGUUCCCGCAAAAGAAAACUGUCGGAGCCACUGCUGCAGCUGCAACCGACCCCUCCCCUGCAACUGAGGUGGGAUAGAGACGAGGGGCCCCCACCGGCUAAGUUUCCAUGUCUAUCUCCUGAGGCCCUGUUGGUGGGUCAGGCUUCCCAAAGAGAAGGACCCCUCCAGCAGGGCAACAUGUGUAAGAACAUGAGGGUGUUAAGUAGAACAUCAAAAUUCAGGAGACUAAGAGAGCUGCUUAGGAGGAGAAAGAAGAGACGGCAGGGCAGGUGUGGUGGCUCACACCUGUAAUCCAGCACUUCGGGAGGCCCAGGCAGGUGGAUCAGGAGGUCAAGAGAUUGAGACCUGAGGAGCAUCUCUGCCUGCACCAUCUGGGAAGUGAGGAGCGCCUCUGCCCAGCCGCCGCCCUGUCUGGGAAGUAAGGAGCGCCUCUGCCUCGCUGCCGUCCUGUCUGCAAAGCAACGAGUGCCUCUGCCUGGCCUCCUCACCAUUUGGGAAAUGAGGAGCGCCUCUGCCCCGCUGCCAUCCCGUCUGCGAAGAGACGAGUGCCUCUGCCCGGCCUCCUCACCGUCUGGGAAAUGAGGAGCACCUCUGCCUCGCCGCAGUCCUGUCUGCGAAGUGAGGAGUGCCUCUGCCCUGCCUCCUCACCAUCUGGGAAAUGAGGAGUGCCUCUGCCUGGCCACCAUCCCAUCUGGGAAGUGAGGAGUGCUUCUGCCCAGCCGCGGCCCUGUCUGGAAAGUGAGGAGCACCUCUGCCCGGCCCCCUCACCGUUUGUAAGGGAGGAGCACCUCUGCCCAGCCCCUGCACCGUCUGGGAAGUGAGGAGCUCCUCUGCCCGGCUGCUGUGCAACCUUCCAAGUGUGAAGUGACAGCCUUGUGUGUGAUCUUUCUGCCCUCCCCAAGUUUGCAUUUUCGACAUUAAAGUUUACUUUUUAAUUAAAAAAAAGGAGAUCGAGAUCAUUCUGGCCAACAUGGUGAAACUCCAUCUCUACUGAAAAUACAAAAAUUAGGUGGGCAUGGUGGCUUGUGCCUGUAGUCCCGGCUACUCAGGAGGCUGAGGCAGGAGAAUGGCUUGAACCCAGGAGGUGGAGGUUGCAGUGAGCCGAGAUCGCACCAUUGCACUCCAGCCCGGUGACAGAGCAAGACUCCGUCCUGAAACGAUGUUGUAGUUGAGAGCAGGAUGGUCUUUUGGGACAGGAGGAACAAAAGGUUCUGGUUGCCACUCUUCAAUUAGUUCUUCUUUUUCCUUGACUGUUAAGAUCAGAUCGUUCUUGUAAUUUGUAAGUCUUAGAGAAAAGAAGUCUGAUUAUCCAGAGUAUCAGAAUCCCUUCCAAAAUAAAAUGGUAAGCAGGAGCCUCGUAAAGCGCCUGUACCAUCUCCACCAGAACCCACUGCUCAGUGGCAGUCGCCAUAGUUAGCCGCUUCCUCUAUAGUUUUUCUUAAGUCUAUAUUCUAGAUCCAUCUUUCAUUCUCCAUUCCCUGUAGGACUUCAUGUACCCUUCACCUAAAAUGAUAUCUUUCCCUGCAACUUUUCCUGAAUGACCAAUCCCGUUUGUCUUAUGGGAUCUGAUGCCAAUGACACUUUAUUCAUUCAUUCCAAAUU